GACGAACGCUGGCGGCGUGCCUAAUACAUGCAAGUCGAGCGGACAGAAGGGAGCUUGCUCCCGGAAGUUAGCGGCGGACGGGUGAGAAACACGUGGGCAACCUACCCUGUAGAUCGGGAUAACAUCGAGAAAUCGGUGCUAAUACCGGAUAAUCAUUUGAAGUGCAUGCUUCGAAUGUAAAAGAUGGCUCCGGCUAUCACUACGGGAUGGGCCCGCGGCGCAUUAGCUAGUUGGUAAGGUAAUGGCUUACCAAGGCAACGAUGCGUAGCCGACCUGAGAGGGUGAUCGGCCACACUGGGACUGAGACACGGCCCAGACUCCUACGGGAGGCAGCAGUAGGGAAUCUUCCGCAAUGGACGAAAGUCUGACGGAGCAACGCCGCGUGAGUGAUGAAGGUUUUCGGAUCGUAAAGCUCUGUUGUUAGGGAAGAACAAGUGCCGUUUGAAUAAGGCGGCACCUUGACGGUACCUAACCAGAGAGCCACGGCUAACUACGUGCCAGCAGCCGCCGUAACAC
rnacentral:rRNA from 1 species